rnacentral:lncRNA from 1 species
AGAACCUGUGCAGGGGGGAUGGGAAGCACCAUUUCCUCCAGGAUGACCCUGGGAACUCUGGUUAAAGCUGAUACCAAAAGGCUCCUGUGAGCACGGUCUUGAUCAAACUCGCCCUUCUGUCUGGCCAGCUGCCCACGACCUACGGUGUAUGUCCAGUGGCCUCCAGCAGAUCAUGAUGACAUCAUGGACCCAAUAGCUCAUUCACUGCCUUGAUUCCUUUUGCCAACAAUUUUACCAGCAGUUAUACCUAACAUAUUAUGCAAUUUUCUCUUGGUGCUACCUGAUGGAAUUCCUGCACUUAAAGUUCUGGCUGACUAAACAAGAUAUAUCAUUUUCUUUCUUCUCUUUUUGUUUGGAAAAUCAAGUACUUCUUUGAAUGAUGAUCUCUUUCUUGCAAAUGAUAUUGUCAGUAAAAUAAUCACGUUAGACUUCAGA